rnacentral:tRNA from 1 species
GCCCUCGUGGAGCAGUCCGGAGUGCUCGCCGCCUUGUCAAGGCGGAGGCCGCGGGUUCGAAUCCCGCCGGGGGCG